CAGCAGCCACGGGAAUACGGAGGGGGCUAGCGUUGUUCGGAAUUACUGGGCGUAAAGCGUACGUAGGCGGCUUUGUAAGUUAGAGGUGAAAGCCUGGUGCUCAACACCAGAACUGCCUUUAAGACUGCAUCGCUUGAACGUCGGAGAGGUGAGUGGAAUUCCGAGUGUAGAGGUGAAAUUCGUAGAUAUUCGGAAGAACACCAGUGGCGAAGGCGGCUCACUGGACGACUGUUGACGCUGAGGUACGAAAGCGUGGGGAGCAAACAGGAUUAGAUACCCCCGUAGUCCCUGUCUCUUAUAC
rnacentral:rRNA from 1 species